GAAGAUGAAGUAAAAUGAGAGGCAAAGCUGGCAAGUAAAAUUCACAAAACAUUAACAUAAUACAAGUGAAAGUUAACAAUUAACACGUUUUGUCAAUUAAUUGAAAAUCACAAAAUAAGUAGGCAAACAAUUAACAGAUAAGUUAACAAGUUUAUAAUCAAUUAAAUAAGUGACUUAAAUUACACUCAGAAAACAAAAGCAUUGGACGAUCGUCUGAUUAUUAAAAAAAAUUAACAUAAACAAAAGAUCGGUCGCUUAGCAAGAAAGUUGAGGGACAGUUAUCUAAUAAUGGACAGUAUUUACAUUUGUUAAUUACAUUGGGAACGUUACUAACUAGGAUUUAAUUAAAAAUCUGUUAUUUUUACAGUUCUUAAUGACAUUUUCAAUGAAACUUUAAUUACCUAAUUUAUGUAUCAAUGGCAAUAGCAAACGGAUUAGAUGCAAUGGAAUGUGAAUAAUUUUAAUCUUUGUUCAAUGUUCCAUCAACUGCUCUUGAAAUGUACAUUGGUCAAUAGAAACUGAAAGCAAUUCCACAAAACCUUAAAGGAGUGAAAUUUUAGGUCAACUUUAAAAUUUCGUUGGUUUUCAUUUUGAAAAGCCUUCUUCAAACAAGACUGGUCAAUAAUCAAAACCUGCAACUGUUAGGCAUUUUGUGUGUUCUUAAUUAAAAAUUUGGUAAAUGCUUUAAUACAUAAAUUGUUAUUACUUUUGUCUUAAGAAGGUUUAAGAUAAUCUUUACUCACAAUAAUCAACUGUCAUCCACUAAAUCCACCAUUUUCUUUGUCUUUCUUUUCGCUCUAUUAAUCACCUGACCAAAGCUUAUCCUAAAAGCCUUGUCUAGUUCAAGCAAACCUCGAUCUAUCAUGUAAUCACUAUCAAUUUUAUGGAUUAUUUUCCCUAUCAUUUAAUAUUUAGAUGGAAUUAAAGUGAAUGCCAAAAAAUAAAGCGAUAGACGAGAUCAUCAUGGACUUGUAAUCUUUUACAUUAUUAUGGUUAAUCAAGCUGGAAUGAACAUCAAAAUUGCUCCAAAAUCUAACCCUGGCCACCAUUCAAUGAGGAAAGAGGGAAAAACUCAUGAUCUUAUGACCAUUCCAAAUGUAAGAUUUAUUUUGCUCAGGAUUUUACACCCUUUAACGCUGGUCCAACUUUUUUGCAUUGUCACACAUUGAUACAUGGUACAUUAGCCUGGUGUAUUAUUCUGAUGCGGAGUAUAAAUGAAUUUUUAUCGCAGUCACUGAUAUUUGUUCAUGUAUUUUACGCCUAACUGGUAUUAAACAUUACUUCUAUUGCCUGAUAUUAAUGCUAAUUCAAAUGAUAAUGAUGAUAAUGGAGCAAUUGCUGAAUCAAGUAUUACUAUUGAAAUUGGUUUACAAUUGAAUGGAUAACUGUUUACUAAAGGUUGAUGAUAGUGAUGACGAUGAGAAAAAACUAACUUCCAGGUCAUCACCACGUUUGGUAGAUCAUCUUCUCGUGAAUACAUUUAAUUUGCAUUUAAUAUAUGGAUGUCGAUAAAGACAAACAUUGCAAACAUUACAAGUCUAAAUAUUCUGCAAAUCAAUUAAUCGUUUGACCUUUUCUGAUUUAUCAUUUCACUUGCUCUGUUUCAUCUUAAUUUAUCUACUUUUUGCUGAAUCAAUUAACUAACCAACAAUGGAAAGUCAAUGGAACCUGAUUAUUGGAAUCACUCGUAGUUUCUCUUGGAAAUAUCAAGAAAAGGUCUGUGCAUAUCUAGCGAAGGAUCAAAUGGAAAAAGCAUCAGAUGAAAAUAUUUUUAUCAACCUGAUUUAUCAGUCCAAUGAGUGAAAUCUAGUGAAGUUGCAACUCGUUCAAUCAUCAUCAUCAUCAUCAAUUAUCUAUGGGACGGUUUAUGAUUUGAGGUUUAUCCUUCUUUAGUGAAUUAGCUAAAUCAUUUAAAGAUGAAGAAGGUUGGUGCAUAAUAAUUGGUUUUCAAAACGAUGACAAUGCAAUUUCCAGAAUUUUUGGCCCCUUCGCUUACUUCGACUAUUGGAAUAGUAGCUGAACAAUCAGAUUAAAAAAAUAGUGCAAGCUGAUUCAACCCUGAUUGAUUGGAAGUGAAAUAGGAAAAGAGAAAAGUUUUACAACGUUUGACAGAAAACUGUUUCUAGUAAACAGUUUAUAUUACAAACAAUAUAAGAUUCAAAGUUGAAUGUUCAGCUAACAAGUGACAUGGAACUUUCCUAAACUAUUUUAUUAUACUUAACCUGGACCAAUAUAUUGAUUAGAAACAGUAAACCCAGAUAAACUGUAUCAUGAACUCAAGAUUUGAAAGUUAACAGGAGAAACAUUUGGAAAGCUGUAAACAUUGAGCAAAAAAAGAGGACAACAAUUUCAAUUAAAGGGGUAGAUUAACAUGUUGAAGGAAGAAAUAAGUUUGAUGUUUAUGAUGAUUACCUUUAACCAAGACUGGACACAAUUAUUUAUUACUUUAUGGUAGCUGUUGGUUCAACUAAUAAUUGAUUAUGCUUAAGAACAAGAUGACGAAGGAAAGCUGGAAAAUUGAUACCAAUUAAUCAGCAAAAAGUGAAACAAUAGGACAAGAAAUAAGCUUCAAGGAUAAAAGUGAAAAUUGACUUCAAUAUAAAAGAGGAGAUUAAUGGCAAAGAUGGUGAAAAGAGGAAAUAUUAAUAUAAAAUCAGCAAUAAUGGAAUAGUGAAAGUAAAGAAAGAUGAUAACAGCGAUUUCAGUGAUUGCUCCAAGAGUCUAAAAUGGGUUCUAAUCGGAUCUUAAUGAACACAAUAUCAGUGUUAAGGUGUUGAAGGUGGCUGCAAUUUUUACAGCAAAUAAAUCAAUGGUCAUUGAAUAGUGUCUAAAAAUUAUCAUUCCUGAGGAAAGAAACUUUACCAUCAAAGUAUGCUGGACUCUAAUCAAUUGGAUAACUCAGUGGAACUGGACCAUUCAAGGAAGCAUGGAUAAAGAUAUUAUCAAGAACCGUGGAGAAGAAAAGAACAAAAAAAGGUGAAAUGAAAACGAUUAACUGACAUGGUAAUAUUGGAGGAUACUCAGGAAACAUUUCUACCUCCACACUGUGUAUUAAUACACACAAAUAGAUCAAUUGAUGAGGAUGGAGCAAACAAACAAAUAGACCAACUUCACAGACAUGGGACAUGAAAAGACUUCUUAUACAACUGAUACAUAUUACUUGGUCUUCCUGAUUGCUAUCUGUAUUUAGACUGGUUUUUACACUUGAUUGAAGCAACGCCAAAUGAAAGUAUAAACCUUCUUCUUCCAUUGGUGUUGAGAAGGAGAAGGAAAAAUAAGAAAAGGAAAGAUAUCAUUGGUUGUGUUUAUGGAAAGAGUCAAAAGCAUGAAGGGAAUCAAAGGAAGGAAUGAAUUUUUUCCAUCCAACUCAAGGGAACUCUAGUCAAUAUGAAUCGCUUGUUCACUCAUGUUCUUCCACUAUUUCUCAUUGAGCCUCAAGGUUUUUCUCUUUCUCUCCCUGUCUUUUCUCUUCCUUGAAUUUCUUUAGAUAUAAAUAUGGAAAGGAAAGAAAGAUAAAGAUAGGGAAGACGAAAAUAAGAAUAGAAAUAAAAAAAGAAGAAGAGAAAAAAGAGAAUUGGAUCGAUGUGAAUCGACCUUUUUCUUGAAUUUUUUUAUUCAGCUGAUACUUUUGUUAUCGAUCAAGCUAAAUAAUAAUGCAAGAAAACCCUACUGAGGCAAAUUUGCGAGAAUCUAAACAAGAUUGAGAAUAAUAUUAGGGCUGAAAGAAGAACAAGAAUGACAAAAGAUUGUAAAAAGAUUGUAAAAAGGAUGAAAUUUUGUGACUGGAUUGUAAAACAAUAUGGAAUCCAAGAUGACCAAUAUGAAAGUAUUAAAAGUCCAUGCUUUUGAUCAAAGACUUGCAAGGCAAAUCAGGCAAAAACCAAAAUGGUCAAUCCUGAAACAAGAUAAUGGUCGCAAUGGUUUCCCUUCAACUCAUUACUGUCAUUGUUUUUGCCUCUCACUCUUCAUCUAUUUUGUUGGCUAUAUUUUCGGGUUCCUGUUAAAAUGUGAUAAUCAAAAUAAGAUCAAGAAAUUAACCAAGAAAACUCAAUAGGCAAGGAAUUACAUCUAAUUUCCAAUAUUCAUUAUUCAGUAUUCUCAUUAUCGAGAUAAAACAGGAAAUUUUGGGAGAAUCAAUAUUCAACUUUAAAAGUAAAGUGAUACAAAAUUUCAAUUUCAAACAAAAGCCAUUUUGCUCAUCUACUUUCGUCACUGCCAUCAUCAUGAGGAAGCAACAAAUAGAUUUAAUAAUGUAAAUUUCAUGUUGUCCCCUGUUUAUUGAUUCAUGGUUGACAAGUAAUGGAGGAAAAGACUGAGAAGCCAAUGUAAACAAGACAUAAAUAUUAACAAAAAAAGGUCAAAGUUA